rnacentral:snRNA from 1 species
GUACUCGCUUCGGUGGUACAUAUACUAAAAUUGGAACGAUACAGAGAAGAUUAGCAUGGCCCCUGCGCAAGGAUGACACGCAAAAUCGUGAAGCGUUCCACAUUUUU